rnacentral:rRNA from 1 species
UUCGUAGGUGGCCUGCUAAGUCACACGUGAAAUCCCUCAGCUUAACUGGGGAACUGCGUGUGAGACUGGCGGGCUUGAGUGCAGGAGAGGAACGCGGAAUUCCAGGUGUAGCGGUGAAAUGCGUAGAUAUCUGGAGGAACACCGGUGGCGAAGGCGGCGUUCUGGACUGCUACUGACACUGAGGAACGAAAGCCAGGGAGCAAACG